AUUGAACGCUGGCGGCAUGCCUUGCACAUGCAAGUCGAACGGCAGCACGGGUGCUUGCACCUGGUGGCGAGUGGCGAACGGGUGAGUAAUACAUCGGAACAUGUCCUGUAGUGGGGGAUAGCCCGGCGAAAGCCGGAUUAAUACCGCAUACGAUCUACGGAUGAAAGCGGGGGACCUUCGGGCCUCGCGCUAUAGGGUUGGCCGAUGGCUGAUUAGCUAGUUGGUGGGGUAAAGGCCUACCAAGGCGACGAUCAGUAGCUGGUCUGAGAGGACGACCAGCCACACUGGGACUGAGACACGGCCCAGACUCCUACGGGAGGCAGCAGUGGGGAAUUUUGGACAAUGGGCGAAAGCCUGAUCCAGCAAUGCCGCGUGUGUGAAGAAGGCCUUCGGGUUGUAAAGCACUUUUGUCCGGAAAGAAAUCCUUGGCCCUAAUACGGUCGGGGGAUGACGGUACCGGAAGAAUAGGCACCGGCUAACUACGUG
rnacentral:rRNA from 1 species